rnacentral:rRNA from 1 species
GACGAACGCUGGCGGCGUGCUUAACACAUGCAAGUCGAACGGAAAGGCCCUGCUUUUGUGGGGUGCUCGAGUGGCGAACGGGUGAGUAACACGUGAGUAACCUGCCCUUGACUUUGGGAUAACUUCAGGAAACUGGGGCUAAUACCGGAUAGGAGCUCCUGCUGCAUGGUGGGGGUUGGAAAGUUUCGGCGGUUGGGGAUGGACUCGCGGCUUAUCAGCUUGUUGGUGGGGUAGUGGCUUACCAAGGCUUUGACGGGUAGCCGGCCUGAGAGGGGGACCGGCCACAUUGGGACUGAGAUACGGCCCAGACGCCAACGGGAGGCAGCAGUGGGGAAUAUUGCACAAUGGGCGGAAGCCUGAUGCAGCAACGCCGCGUGCGGGAUGCCGGCCUUCGGGUUGUAAACCGCUUUCGCCUGUGACGAAGCGUGAGUGACGGUAAUGGGUAAAGAAGCACCGGCUAACUACGUG